CCUACGGGCGGCAGCAGUCGAGAAUCAUUCACAAUGGGGGAAACCCUGAUGGUGCGACGCCGCGUGGGGGAAUGAAGGUCUUCGGAUUGUAAACUCCUGUCAUGUGGGAGCAAAUUAAAAAGAUAGUACCACAAGAGGAAGAGACUGCUAACUCUGUGCCAGCAGCCGCGGUAAUACAGAGGUCUCAAGCGUUGUUCGGAAUCACUGGGCGUAAAGCGUGCGUAGGCUGUUUCGUAAGUCGUGUGUGAAAGGCGCGGGCUCAACCCGCGGACGGCACAUGAUACUGCGAGACUAGAGUGAUGGAGGGGAAAGCGGAAGUCUCGGUGUAGCAGUGAAAUGCGUAGAUAUCGAGAGGAACACUCGUGGCGAAGGCGGGUUCCUGGACAUUAACUGACGCUGAGGCACGAAGGCCAGGGGAGCGAAAGGGAUUAGAUACCCGAGUAGUC
rnacentral:rRNA from 1 species